AUACGGAGGGUGCAAGCGUUACUCGGAAUCACUGGGCGUAAAGCGCGCGCAGGCGGCUAUUUAAGUUGGAUGUGAAAGCCUACGGCUCAACCGUAGAACUGCAUCCAAAACUAUUUAGCUAGAGUGUGGGAGAGGAAGAUGGAAUUAGUUGUGUAGGGGUAAAAUCCGUAGAGAUAACUAGGAAUACCAAAAGCGAAGGCAAUCUUCUGGAACACUACUGACGCUGAGGCGCGAAAGUGUGGGGAGCAAACAGGAUUAGAAACCCUAGUAGUCC
rnacentral:rRNA from 1 species